CCUACGGGUGGCAGCAGUGGGGAAUAUUGCACAAUGGGCGCAAGCCUGAUGCAGCCAUGCCGCGUGUGUGAAGAAGGCCUUCGGGUUGUAAAGCACUUUCAGCGGGGAGGAAGGCGGUGAGGUUAAUAACCUCAUCGAUUGACGUUACCCGCAGAAGAAGCACCGGCUAACUCCGUGCCAGCAGCCGCGGUAAUACGGAGGGUGCAAGCGUUAAUCGGAAUUACUGGGCGGAAAGCGCACGCAGGCGGUCUGUCAAGUCGGAUGUGAAAUCCCCGGGCUCAACCUGGGAACUGCAUUCGAAACUGGCAGGCUAGAGUCUUGUAGAGGGGGGGAGAAUUCCAGGUGUAGCGGUGAAAUGCGUAGAGAUCUGAGGAAUACCGGUGGCGAAGGCGGCCCCCUGGACAAAGACUGACGCUCAGGUGCGAAAGCGUGGGGAGCAAACAGGAUUAGAUACCCUUGUAGUC
rnacentral:rRNA from 1 species